rnacentral:rRNA from 1 species
GACGAACGCUGGCGGCGUGCUUAACACAUGCAAGUCGAACGGAAAGGCCCUGCUUUUGUGGGUUGCUCGAGUGGCGAACGGGUGAGUAACACGUGAGUAACCUGCCCUUGACUUUGGGAUAACUUCAGGAAACUGGGGCUAAUACCGGAUAGGAGCUCCUGCUGCAUGGUGUGGGUUGGAAAGUUUCGGCGGUUGGGGAUGGACUCGCGGCUUAUCAGCUUGUUGGUGGGGUAGUGGCUUACCAAGGCUUUGACGGGUAGCCGGCCUGGGAGGGUGACCGGCCACAUUGGGACUGAGAUACGGACCAGACGCCUACGGGAGGCAGCAGUGGGGAAGAUUGCAGAAUGGGCGGAAGCCUGAGGCAGAAACGCCGCGUGCGGGAUGACGGCCUUCGGGGUGUAAACCGAUGUCGAAUGUGACGAAGCGUGAGUGACGGUAAUGGGUAAAGAAGCACCGGCUAACUACGUG